GCUGAACCUGGUAAUCAUGGAGCAAUCUGAGCUCGGCGAGGGUCUUCUCCAUUUCGUGGACGGUGCGAGUGCAGUAGAUGAGCUUGACAGGAUUUUGGGGUUUGGAGAGGGCGUAGCUAGUGAUGAGGGAAAGAAGGGCGAUGGUUUUUCCAGUGCCUGUGGGCAUUUCGAGAAGACAAUGGCCCUUGGCGUCGAGAGCUCGCUUCAGCUCGAGCAUGUAAGCGUA
rnacentral:misc_RNA from 1 species